UUAAGCAAUAGAUAGCGACGCUGUUAGAAUUAAAACCAAAAAGAUCUAGUUUGUCGGAUACGAAAAUACCAAAAAAGAAUCAAGAACGAGAGAAGAAAAAUAAAGCACACAGUAUUUACGUGGUUCGGCCACCAGCCUACAUCCACGGGCGAAGACCAAGCCGAAAUUUUCAUUAUAAUCAAAGUGAUGUACAAAAUAUGCCUCUAUCGCAAAACCCUAAUCCUAAAAAUACACCCAUACUCCCUCUCUCAUCUUCCGCACUAAACUAAUGGAAUAAAAAAUAUAUUUAUAA
rnacentral:lncRNA from 1 species